UGACAUAUCAAACAACUCAUGAACGAACUUAAGUAUUAGAGAAAUAAUAAGCACUUAAAUUACCAUCACGUACACCUCAACUUGAGCUGGUCCACUUUCUUUGGUUUACCUAAUUUUAAUCACCCAUAUCUUCGAAUAUUCGAUCACAAUGUUCAUUAUCUAACAAAUUUACCCACAAAUCUUUCAUCGAAUGACUUUUUAUGUAUCUGGAUAUGAUAUUUGAAGGUGAUGAUCAUAUAUAUUGAGGAAGAAGACAAAGGAGGCGCUCACCUAAGCAAACACUUGGUUCCAUGAUCCAUCCAUUCCUUUCAAGCUUUCACUUCUGCACUCAUGAGAAGCAGAGCAACAACUUUCCCAAACAGUAGUAGGUAGUAGAAAUUAGAAAAGAAAGGGCCAUCCUUAUGUUGCGCCGCGUAGACAAAGAGAGAUUAAUUAGUUCAUUUCUCUAAUCAAAGAUUCACAUAAUCAAUCAAAUCCCUCGAGUAAUAAACUAAGCAUCAUUAACUUGUAUAUUAUUAGGGUUUACGAGAGCGAUCGAUUCCGUGCUUAUCAAACCACGGGAACGCCGCCGACCUCAGCCGGCACUACCGCAACGCGGCAGCUUCUCCAUCACUGAUUCCCUCUACUUUUCCGCAGAUCUGGCGACUCACUGCAUCAGGUGUUACGUGUUCCGUACGAUUUGUUUCAGAACCCAGAAAAGUACUGAUACGUACACUCGAAGACUUCUGCAGCAGCAGCAGCCUGAUGACCUAGCUUAACUAAGCUAGUCAGCUUCCAUGUAUGUCUGUGAUCAUUAUAUCUGUCCGUACGAUUUUUAUAUUACUUGAGUAGUUGAUCGAGGGCCUCAUAUUUAUUCCAUUUCUGUGAGGUAAGAUCGCACCAACCUGAGUUCUUGUUAAUUGGGAUCCAAGUACGAAAGCACCCAACUGUCCCCAUUUGUUAUUUUUGUUCGGUCUUUGUUUCUACCCCCCUGCUUAGUCUCUUCCAUGGUAGUGAUCAAUAGUAGUCCUGCAUUAACCAUAACAUGUCAUCCACGAGUUUAUCAUAAUUGCUUCAACAUGAGAUCUAGUUUCCUGUUUCGAUAAACUGCACACUCGCAUACCCACCCACCCACCCACCCAUAAUAGUACGUAAAAGGAUGAAUAUACGUGACCACUACUAGAAACUACUCGGGUAUUUUAGGUCGCAACGGGUAGGGAUAUGAUGCUGAACCUUUCGAAUUUACUUGUUUUGUGAAGUUUCUUGACAUAGUAAAUAAGCUUUGUAUGG
rnacentral:lncRNA from 1 species